rnacentral:lncRNA from 1 species
ACAAACAUCCACAUAUUUAUCUUAAGUAUAUCUAUCAUUUGUCACUGUUUUGUUCAUCACCUACAGUCCACUGAAAAACCCACAAAAAAAUCCUAAAGCCCUUUGACGGUACUGUUAUCUUGUGUUUUGUGUUCAUCAAGUUGCUAGUCACCCUCUUUACAUAUUUUGUAUCGUGUUUCAUUUGUAUCCACACCCCUGUUAGUAAAAAAAGAGUUAAAAAUCAGAGAACAAAAAGAAGUUCAGAGAAAAAAAACAGAGAUAGAAAGAUCCAAAAGAAAAGUAAAAGAAGAGGAAAGGGGUUAUAUUGCGGUUUGCUCACAGAAAAUUUAGUUUACAUAUUAAGAUUCUUGGGGAUUUAUAUACCAGCAAUAUUAUAUCUUUUGAGCACAUCAAACCACUUGAUUUACAGUACCGUAGCCUCCCUUGUUUAGCCACC